rnacentral:rRNA from 1 species
GACAGAGGGUGCAAACGUUGUUCGGAAUUACUGGGCGUAAAGCGCGUGUAGGCGGUUCGGAAAGUCGGAUGUGAAAGCCCUGGGCUCAACCCAGGAAGUGCACUCGAAACUCCCGAACUCGAGUCCUGGAGAGGAAGGCGGAAUUCUCGGUGUAGAGGUGAAAUUCGUAGAUAUCGAGAGGAACAUCGGUGGCGAAGGCGGCCUUCUGGACAGCGACUGACGCUGAGACGCGAAAGCCAGGGGAGCAAACGGG